rnacentral:rRNA from 2 species
GGAGGUCGGCAACGACCACCCAGGGCCGGAAAGUUCGUCAAACUUGGUCAUUUAGAGGAAGUAAAAGUCGUAACAAGGUCUCCGUAGGUGAACCUGCGGAGGGAUCAUU